CUCCUGUUUGAUAACGUUAUUAAGAAACGUAUAGAGACGUAAACAGACUUUGGCGUGUCUGCUUGCAUUAUAUUUGUGUGGACAAGGAAUUAACUCGGAAACGGCAUGCUGCUGUGGGUACUGUGUCUGUGUACCGUGGUCGAAGGAGGCGUGGUUCUGGUAGGGCCUAGCAUAUCUGAUAA